rnacentral:rRNA from 1 species
UACGUAGGUGGCAAGCGUUGUCCGGAUUUACUGGGCGUAAAGCGUGCGUAGGCGGUGCCAUAAGUCUGUUGUGAAAUCUCCCGGCUUAACUGGGAGGGUGCGGUGGAAACUGUGGUGCUGGAGUGUGGGAGAGGUAGGCGGAAUUCCUGGUGUAGCGGUGAAAUGCGUAGAUAUCAGGAGGAACACCUGUGGUGUAGACGGCUUACUGGACCAUGACUGACGCUGAGGCACGAAAGCGUGGGGAGCAAACAGG